rnacentral:rRNA from 1 species
CCUACGGGAGGCAGCAGUGAGGAAUAUUGGUCAAUGGCCGGAAGGCUGAACCAGCCAAGCCGCGUGAAGGACGAAGGUGCCAAGCAUUGUAAACUUCUUUUGUCAGGGGACAAAAUCAGGCUCGAGAGCCUGACCGAGGGGACUUGAAGAAAAAGCAUCGGUUAAAUCCUGGCCAGCAGCCGCGGUAAUACGGAGGAUUCGAGGGUUAUCCGGAUUUAUUGGGGUUAAAGGGUUCGUAGGCGGGCUUUUAAGUCAGCGGUAAAAACCCGGGGCUCAACCCCGGCCAGCCGUUGAAACUGGGUGUCGUGAGAUGUCGAGAGGUAUGCGGAAUGCGCAGUGUAGCGGUGAAAUGCUUAGAUAUUGCGCAGAACUCCGAUUGCGAAGGCAGCAUUCCGGCGGCGAUCUGACGCUGAGGCACGAAAGCGUGGGUAUCGAACAGGAUUAGAUACCCCAGUAGUC